rnacentral:rRNA from 1 species
UGGGGAAUAUUGCACAAUGGGCGCAAGCCUGAUGCAGCCAUGCCGCGUGUAUGAAGAAGGCCUUCGGGUUGUAAAGUACUUUUAGCGGGGAGGAAGGGAGUAAAGUUAAUACCUUUGCUCAUUGACGUUACCCGCAGAAGAAGCACCGUCUAACUCCGUGCCAGCAGCCGCGGUAAUACGGAGGGUGCAAGCGUUAAUCGGAAUUACUGGGCGUAAAGCGCACGCAGGGGGUUGAUUGAGUCAGAUGUGAAAUCCCCGGGCUUAACCCGAGAGUUGCAGCGGAUACUGGUCAGGAAGAGUCUUGUAGAGGGGGGUAGAAGUCCAUGUGUAGAGGUGAAAUGCGUAGAGAUGUGGAGGAAUACCGGUGGCGAAGGCGGCCCCCUGGACAAAGACUGACGCUCAGGUGCGAAAGCGUGGGGAGCAAACAGG